rnacentral:rRNA from 1 species
ACGGAGGGUGCAAGCGUUAUUCGGAAUUACUGGGCGUAAAGGGCGUGCAGGCGGGAGAACAAGUCUGAUGUGAAAGCCCGGGGCUUAACCCCGGAAGGGCAAUGGAAACUGCUUUUCUUGAGUACUGGUGAGGAAGGGAGAAUUCCCGGUGUAGAGGUGAAAUUCGUAGAGAUCAGGAGGAACAGCAGUGGCGAAGGCACCCUUCUGAACAGCAACUGACGCUGAUACGCGAAAGCGUGGGGAUCAAACAG